ensembl:lncRNA
GUUAAAUGGGGGAUUUUCGAAGAGGAAAUGCUUCGUUUCAGGUUGAAUUUGGGGUUUUUGAAGCCAAAAUGCGUGAUUUUCACUUAAAUGGGGGAUUUUCCAAACGAAAAUGCAUGAUUUUCUUUUUAGAUGGGGGAUUUUCAUAGAGAAAAGGCAUGGUUUUGUGUUAAGUGGGGGAUAUUUGCAAAAAAAAAACGAGGCGUGAUUUUUGGGUUAAACAGGGGAUUUUUGAAGAGAAAAUGUGUGAUUUUCAGUUACAUGGGUGAUUUCUGCAAAGAAAAUGCAUCAUUCUUGGGUUAAAUUGUGUAUUUUUGCAGAGAAAAUGCUUGAUUUUCAUUUAAAUGAGGGAUUUCUUGCAGAGACAAUGCUUGAUUUUUGUUUAAAUGAGGGAUUUUGGCAGAGAACAUGCGUGAUUUUCGGGUUAAACGGGGGAUUUCUGCAAAAAAAAUCAUGAUUCUCAGGUAAAAUUUGGUGUAGUUGAAGAGAAAAUGCAUGAUUUUCAGGUUAAAUGGGGGAUUUUGGAAGAGAAAAUGCGUGUUGUUUGAGAUAAACAGGGGAUUUUUGUAGAGCGAAUGCAUGAUUUUGGGGUUAAAUGGGGGAUUUUCCAAGGGAAAAUUUGUGAUUUUCGGGUUAAAUGGGGGACUUUCCAAGGGAAAAGGCAUGAUUUUCUGGUUAAAUGGGGGAUUUUGGAAGAGCAAAUGUGUGAGUUUUGGUUAAAUGGGGGGUUUUCCAGAGCAAAUGCAUGACUUUCUGUUCAAUGGAGGAUUUUUGUGGUGAAAAUGCGUGGUGUUCAGGUUAAAGCAGGGAUUUUCGAUGAGAAAAUACAUGAUUUGGGGGUUGAAUGUGUUUGUUUGUUUGUUUGUUUUAAGAGAAAACUUGUGAUUUUUGAUGAAUUAUGUAUUUUUGAAGUGAAAAUGCGUGGUUUUCAGGUUAGAUCAGGGAUUCUUGAAGAGAAAAUGCAUCAUUGUCGGGUUACAUGGGGGAUUUCCAAAGAGAAAUCGCCUUUUUUUUUUUUUUUUUUCUGGUUAAAUGGGGGAUUCUUGAAGAGAAAUUGCAUUUUUUUC